rnacentral:lncRNA from 1 species
CUAUAAUUCACCUUUUGUGUUAUAGUUCUUCAAAAAGGUAAAGUACAGUAAACUGAAGGACUCUGCCUCAUCAAGGAAGUGAAAGAGGUGCUAGACCACCCACACAGGUGGGUGCUGUGCUUCUCAUGAUACAGUUGUUGGCUCAUAAACUCCCCUCUGGUGGAGCACAGUGGUGUGGGAGAGUGAGACCGGUUCUCGGAUGCCGGCGACGUCAGUAGUUUCCUUUGACCCAUUCGCUUUUCCAGGCCCAAGGAAGAAGUAA